AUGUCUGUGCUCUGGGAAGACAGCAGAAGCUUCCGCUCAUCCAGGAGCAGCUGGGGCAGACCGGGCCUAUCAGAGGAUGUGGACGCCUGGGCAGAGUGUUUUUACCCCGAGACCCCUGCCCCAAGUUCAGCCCUGGUUCUGGUUGAAAGAUUCCCAAGGACACAGGAGGCAGAAUUCCCAAGGAGGUCUGAGAAGGUCUUCCUGAGGAACAGCAAGAGCUGGAGGAAGCUUCCUGAUCCCACGAGCAUGUUCUCGGUCCACGAUCCGGCUGGGCAAGAGGGAAGAUGGCAACAAGCUGUCCAGGUGGCCACGGGGGCCCACGUGCCCUUUCUGGCCUUGGGGACAAGUUCUUCAUGGAGGCAAGGUUUGGGGAGACUGGCCCCACAGUACUGGGGCACCAACUCCCAUGUGGGGGGCUGAGUGGGUGAAGCUGGGAGAAGGAGCCCUCCUCCCCUGUGGGCCCCACCCUCAGGGAGUAGCCCUGACGUGGUGUCCAGGUCCCAAGCCUGAGCUGGUCUCUUUCUCCUGACCAGGGCUCUGGGUCCUGGUCCUUGUCUGCCCCUGCCCUGGUUACCAGCAACCACAUCUCCCACUGUGAUGGGCUCAGUGAGGUCCCCUCAAGUUCGGUAUUCGGAGUCCUAAGCCCCCAGUAACUCUGAAUGUGAUUGCAUUUAGAGACAGUGUCUCAAAGAGGCGACUGAGUUAAAGCGAGGUCAUUGGGCCCUAAUCCAAUGUGUCUGGUCUCCUCGCAGGAAGAGGAGAUCUGGACCCAGACACGAGCAGAUGUAAGACGAGGUGAACCUACACGGAGGGGGUGUCAGCUCUGACCCAAGAACAGAGGCCUCAGAAGAAACCAGCCUCGCAGACACCCUGAUUGCAGACUUCCAGCCUGCAGAUUGGUGAGAAACCCUGUUUCUAAUGUCUAAGCCAUCCGUCUAUGGCAGCCCUAGCCAAUCCACACACCUCCCAUCAGCCCUACCAGCUGUGGACAUGGGCUGUGAGCUUCCUGCGUGCCAGGCUUGGAGCCGGGCCCGCUCCGUGUGUCACUUCACUCCUCACUGACCCCGGAAGGUAAAGAUCGGGGACCUUGUCGGGUCAGCCUGGCUCUGCUAGUGUGAUCUCAGCUAAAGCGUUCUGCCUCUCUGGGCCUUACUUCCUCAACUGCCCACGAGCCCCAGAAUAGUAAGUGCACCCUAGACUGGUUUUAAGGAAUGAUUUAAAACGUAUGAAAGGAUGGGGCGCCUGGGUGGCAUAGCGGUUAAGCAUGUCUGCCUUCGGCUCAGGGCGUG
rnacentral:lncRNA from 1 species